rnacentral:rRNA from 1 species
GCCUAUGACAGUGGGAUAGCCUCGGGAAACCGGGAUUAAUACCGCAUAAAAUCGUAGAAACACAUGUUUCAACGGUCAAAGAUUUAUCGGUCAUAGAUGGGCUCGCGUCUGAUUAGCUAGUUGGUGAGAUAACAGCCCACCAAGGCGACGAUCAGUAGCCGGUCUGAGAGGAUGAACGGCCACAUUGGAACUGAGACACGGUCCAAACUCCUACGGGAGGCAGCAGAA